GACGAACGCUGGCGGCGUGCUUAACACAUGCAAGUCGAACGGAAAGGCCCUGCUUGCAGGGUACUCGAGUGGCGAACGGGUGAGUAACACGUGGGUGAUCUGCCCUGCACUUCGGGAUAAGCCUGGGAAACUGGGUCUAAUACCGGAUAGGAGCCAUUUUUAGUGUGAUGGUUGGAAAGUUUUUUCGGUGUAGGAUGAGCUCGCGGCCUAUCAGCUUGUUGGUGGGGUAAUGGCCUACCAAGGCGGCGACGGGUAGCCGGCCUGAGAGGGUGGACGGCCACAUUGGGACUGAGAUACGGCCCAGACUCAUACGGGAGGCAGCAGUGGGAAUAUUGCACAAUGGGCGCAAGCCUGAUGCAGCGACGCCGCGUGGGGGAUGACGGCCUUCGGGUUGUAAACUCCUUUCGCUAGGGACGAAGCUUUUUGUGACGGUACCUAGAUAAGAAGCACCGGCUAACUACGU
rnacentral:rRNA from 1 species